rnacentral:tRNA from 10 species
GGAGAUGUCGCAUAGUGGCCUAGUGCGCCUUCCUGCUAAGAAGGUUGGGGAUAAAACCCCUCGGGAGUUCGAAUCUCCCCAUCUCCGCCA